GAAGAGUUUGAUCCUGGCUCAGGGUUAACGCUGGCGGUAUGUCUAAUACAUGCAAGUCGAGCGCCCCCACCCAGUUUACAAAAUGCUUUAGUCUGUUAUCUACUGUGUUGAAAGCAAAUUUUUAAUCCUCAUGUAGUGUUCCGCUACAUUGCGGUUGAAAAUUUGCUUUCGCCUUGUAUCUAACAGUCUGCAUCGUUUUGUCGGUUGAGUGGGGGAGCGGCGAACGGGUGAGUAACACGUUGGAACCUGCCUUAAGCUCGGGGAUACUCCGUAGAAAUACGGGUUAAUACCGGAUGGUCCCGAAAGGGUAAAGCUUUUGCGGCUUAAGAGGGUCCUGCGGCCUAUCAGCUAGUUGGUGGGGUAGAAGCCUACCAAGGCAAUGACGGGUAGCUGAUCUGAGAGGAUGAUCAGUCACAAUGGAACUGAGACACGGUCCAUACUCCUACGGGAGGCAGCAGUAAAGAAUCUUCCACAAUGGGCGCAAGCCUGAUGGAGCGAUACCGCGUGAACGAUGAAGGUCGUAAGAUCGUAAAGUUCUUUUUUGGGGGAAGAAUUCUGACGGUACCCCAAGAAUAAGCACCGGCUAACUCCGUGCCAGCAGCCGCGGUAAUACGGAGGGUGCAAGCGUUACCCGGAAUUAUUGGGCGUAAAGCGUCCGCAGGUGGUUUGUUAAGUUGAAUGUUAAAUCUCGGAGCUCAACUCCGAGUUCGUAUUCAAAACUGGCGAACUAGAGAAUUUUAGAGGUGCGUGGAAUUCUGUGUGUAGGGGUAAAAUCCGUAGAUACACAGAGGAACACCAAAAGCGAAAGCAGCGCACUGGAAAAUUUCUGACACUCAUGGACGAAAGCGUGGGGAUCAAACAGGAUUAGAUACCCUGGUAGUCCACGCUGUAAACUAUGGAUACUAGGUAUAAGUCGGGCUCGACCCCGAUUUGUGCCGACGCUAACGCAUUAAGUAUCCCGCCUGGGAAGUACGGUCGCAAGAUUAAAACUCAAAGGAAUAGACGGGGACCCACACAAGCGGUGGAGCAUCUGGCUUAAUUCGAUAGUAAGCGAGGAACCUUACCUAGGCUUGACAUCUAGAGAAUCUUUUGGAAACAAGAGAGUGCCUCACGGAACUCUAAGACAGGUGCUGCAUGGUUGUCGUCAGCUCGUGCCUUGAGGUGUUCGGUUAAGUCCGUAAACGAGCGCAACCCAUGUGCUGUGUUGCAUUUUUCACAGCAGACUGCCGAUUCAAAGUCGGAGGAAGGUAUGGAUGACGUCAAAUCAGCAUGGCCUUUAUGCCUAGGGCCGCACAGAUGCUACAAUGGUCAGUACAGCAGGUAGCAAAGCAGUAAUGCCGAGCCAAUCCUAUAAAGCUGAUCUUAGUUCGAAUUGAGGGCUGCAACUCGCCCUCAUGAAGUUGGAAUCGCUAGUAACCGCGCAUCAGCCAUGGCGCGGUGAAUAUGUUCCUGGGUCUUGUACUCACCGCCCGUCACACUAUGAAAGAUGGGAGCACCCGAAGUACCCUUAGCUUUUAGCGGGGUCCUAAGGUGAAACCAUUGAUUGGAGUGAAGUCGUAACAAGGUAUCCGUAGGAGAACCUGCGGAUGGAAUAUCUCUUUU
rnacentral:rRNA from 1 species